rnacentral:lncRNA from 1 species
AGAACCCAAACCUGCACCAAGGAGUUACCUGCCGGCGCCUCCCACACCCUUCAGCCCCUGCCUCUUCAGUGCCCUGCAGGACCCUGGCCCAAGCGCACCAGCCUUCUAUUUCCCUAACUGCCAGCUACCUGUCCAUCCAUCCACCCUCCUUGGGCCUCAGUUGGGGCUGGAACCUGACACAUUCAUCUGCAUAUCUGGCUCUUUCCUCAAUCUGGAAUGUUCUUUUGACCUUUCUGCACCUGGCUACUUGCCUCGUUCUUUCAGCCUUAUCUCAGACACCUCCAGGAAGCCUUCUCUGAUGCUUUCCUGGCUGGACGACAAGGGAGGAGCAAGCCGAGGAGGGCCUUGAGUGUUUGCACGGAGAUGAAGUUCCUGCCCACAGGUCACAGGGGGUGGCAAGACCUAUAGUUCUGAGACCCCUGAAGGUGCCAGGCAUGGGGCUUGGGAGCUGGGCAUAUGGUGAUUAAAAAAAGAAAAACAACCCAGAUUGUCCCAUCCUCUGGUCCAGCCUCAUUAUCUUAUGACCAACAAGGAACAAAGACAGAACCUGGUGCUUCAAUUUGCUGACGUGUUCCUUGUGUCCCUGUAGCCGGCACUGCAUGCCACCCAUGUCUCUCCUGCACAUGGACAGCUUCCUACACCCAGCACCCGUGCCUCUCCGCCUGCGGCUUUCCCUGGGCACAGGUGUGUGCUCAGCCCUCAGCAGUUAACACCCCCAGGAGCAGCCCUCGGUUAAGACAAAGCUGAUGUUAACAGAGGAUCCAGUCCAAAUUCUCAUCUGCCAUGCAGAGCCUCCUCCCACGGUCCCUGUGGCAUCUGGAGGCUCCCCCCAUCUCUCUUGGCUGCUGCCCUGGAAAAGGCACUCGUCCUCCAUUCCACAUACCCCCAUGGCCUUGCCUCUGUGCCCUGCUCGUGCUGUUCCUUGUGUCCAGAACACCCUGCCACUUUGUUGCCUGCCUAGGACAUCCUUUUCCGAGGAUCCCCUCAGCAGUUACAUCUUUUGGAGACCUUCCCUGCCCCCAUGAUGGCUAAUCACUGUUACCCUCUCAUCCGGGUCGCUCUUGCACCUGUGUCUGUCUCUCUUGUGCACUUUCACUCUUGUCUGGGGCGUUCUGUCUGCACACCUGCUGUGCCCACCCCUGGGAGCGCCCCCUGACCAGGGGCCAUUUAAGGGAUGCUGUGUUACUGUGGAAAGGGGUGGGCCUUGGAGUCGGAGCAACCUGGGCUUCACACCCAGCCCUGUCUCUGCUAAAAGACCCCAGACUAGUUACCUAUUCUGCCCGCCCCAUGCUUGUUCUUCCAUGAAACAGAAAUAAUAAAACCUACCUAUGAGGUUGUUUUGGGGAAUAAAAUCAAUGUGUGUUAAGUG